UUAUAGAUCAUUACAUGGUAGGAAUAGCCGAUGGUCCUAAAGUAGUAUGAUUAAAUAAAACACUUAAAACUGUAAUUCACCUAGGCUUUUUAAUAUAUCACUAUUUUUCCUUUGUUACUCUAAACUAGGAAUUCCAAGAUUUAUUUGCCACUAUUCUCUGUAUUUUCUGCUGUACACGGUAUUUGUGGGCUAUGGCAACCAAUCCCCUUGGGCUUUCUUUUGCUUUAAUUUGCAUAAACACAGGCAUCAUAUGAAUAUUCAGUGAGUGGCUUUGCAUUAAGUAAGUGCCCUUAAUCAGCUUUUCAGUUCAGUUUUAUUGGUUGCACGCACAGUCAGUUAUUUCAUCCAGAAAAUCUGAAGGCCCUACAAACUAACCAGCAGAUUCUGGAUUCAGCCAAAGGAAUAAGAUGAGAUAAAAGCUCCCAGACACCUUGAAUCCAGGUACUAUGCUAAAUCCAGGAGUAAAAUGUUGAUGAGAACACUCCAUGUGAGAAGCAAGUUGAAUCUAGUGGACUCUCUGAAUUGAAGAUGUACUGCAGAGAAUCUGGGAAAGUUAAGAAGGUUACACAGUGUGAAUGAAAUACCAGAGUGGAGAAAGCUUCACAGAACAACUACUCCAAAGAUCUAUCUCAGAGCUCUGCUGAGCAUCCACUGGAGUGCUGGUCACUCCGGUGAUCACGUGUGCAAGGAAAGAAACUAUGAGGACCAAAGAAGAACCAACUGAGAGGAUCAGAGGAAGCAGUAUCAGGGCCAUGAUCGGUGCUCUUUCUCACCAGUCAAACUGGAAAACUUCAUUAUUUGUAAGAUGCUGAGUAACGUUCUUGCCUAAGAAGAAAAAGUAAACAGAACUGAACUAA